ACCCGCUGAACUUAAGCAUAUCAAUAAGCGGAGGAAAAGAAACCAACAGGGAUUGCCCUAGUAACGGCGAGUGAAGCGGCAACAGCUCAAAUUUGAAAUCUGGCGUCUUUGGCGUCCGAGUUGUAAUUUGCAGAGGGCGCUUUGGCAUUGGCAGCGGUCCAAGUUCCUUGGAACAGGACGUCACAGAGGGUGAGAACCCCGUACGUGGUCGCUAGCCUUUACCGUGUAAAGCCCCUUCGACGAGUCGAGUUGUUUGGGAAUGCAGCUCUAAAUGGGAGGUAAAUUUCUUCUAAAGCUAAAUACUGGCCAGAGACCGAUAGCGCACAAGUAGAGUGAUCGAAAGAUGAAAAGCACUUUGGAAAGAGAGUUAAAAAGCACGUGAAAUUGUUGAAAGGGAAGCGCUUGCAGCCAGACUUGCCUGUAGUUGCUCAUCCGGGUUUUUACCCGGUGCACUCUUCUAUAGGCAGGCCAGCAUCAGUUUGGGCGGUUGGAUAAAGGUCUCUGUCAUGUACCUCUCUUCGGGGAGAACUUAUAGGGGAGACGACAUGCAACCAGCCCGGACUGAGGUCCGCGCAUCUGCUAGGAUGCUGGCGUAAUGGCUGU
rnacentral:rRNA from 1 species